GAGUUGCGAGAGUCGACGUUGCUCCAGAAAAAGAACAAUCCAUCUUACUUUUCUGUAAGACAAAGAAGGGCUGCAUUUAGUGAUUUGUGACUCCAGAUUUAGCUCAAGGAGUGGCACGUGAAAAGACUCCAAGCCUGGAGAAAAGAGGAGCAUCUGUAUUAAAAACUGAACGGACUCCACAAGCUAAGAAGUGAGUGUGAAACGCCCAUCACAGGGAAAAUUUCUGAAGGUCAUCAUGGAGCCCCUUCUGGCAAUCCAUGGGCUGAAGAGCCUCAACUCUCAUUCAUAAUGUGACGCGGAGAGUGGACGGUUGCCCAUAAUUGAUCUGGAGACCUUUGACUUGAUGUUCAAGGAAAUAAAUGACAAACAGGAUGCAAGAAU